GUACGACCACGCUGAGAUAGCAAUCACAUUCCAGCCCCCACGAAUCUCCAGACCCUGGUCCUGGAGACUUAACCCGACACUACUCAACGACCCACAAACGGUACAACAAAUCACAACAGAACUCAAACAUUACUUCGCUACAAACAAGGAUACAGUACAAUCCAAUGCAAUCAUAUGGGCUGCUCACAAAACGGUGAUCAGGGGUACCCUUAUUAGCUUAGCCACAGCACACAAAAAAAGACGCCUCGCUCACAUAGAGAAAAUACUAGCGGCCAUCAGGGACCUUGAAUCCCUACAUAAAGUCACCCCCACCCCGGACCUCACUACACAACUCCAACACCAACGACAGGCCCUCCACAAUGCAAUGGCAGUGGACGCCACCAGGGCUCUACAAUGGACACAACAAAAGUUCAACGAAAAAUCCAAUAAAGCCGAUACACUCCUGGCCCGCAGGCUGCGCAAGCGCAUCCAGGCCAAGCAGAUAACACGCAUACGCACACCAUCGAGCCAUGACACAGAGGUACCUACCAAAAUUGCGGAGGUAUUCCAACACUAUUUUGCAGACCUAUAUGACCACUCCCCCCACCAUAGGCAACGGACCGCCACCCUACAAGACCGUAUCCAAACCUUUUUAGACCGAACCCACUUGCCCACACUAUCAGAUAGCGCGAUCACCCAACUCUCCAUGGAGAUCACAGAACAAGAAGUUGCGACGGC